AGUGAACGCUGGCGGUAGGCCUAACACAUGCAAGUCGAACGGCAGCACAGAGGAGCUUGCUCCUUGGGUGGCGAGUGGCGGACGGGUGAGGAAUACAUCGGAAUCUACUCUGUCGUGGGUGAUAACGUAGGGAAACUUACGCUAAUACCGCAUACGACCUACGGGUGAAAGCAGGGGAUCUUCGGACCUUGCGCGAUUGAAUGAGCCGAUGUCGGAUUAGCUAGUUGGCGGGGUAAAGGACCACCAAGGCGGCGAUCCGUAGCUGGUCUGAGAGGAUGAGCAGCCACACUGAAACUGAGACACGGUCCAGACUCCUAAGGGAGGCAGCAGUGGAGAAUAUUGGACAAUGGGCGCAAGCCUGAUCCAGACAUACCGCGUGGGUGAAGAAGGCCUUCGGGUUGUAAAGCCCGUUUGUUGGGAAAGAAAUCCAUCUGGUUAAUACCCGGGUGGGAUGACGGUACCCAAAGAAUAAGCACCGGCUAACUUCGUGCCAGCCGCCGCAGUAA
rnacentral:rRNA from 1 species